AGUGGCGGACGGGUGAGUAACGCGUGAGAAUCUGCCUUGGGGUCGGGGACAACCACUGGAAACGGUGGCUAAUACCGGAUAAGCCGAUUGGUGAAAGAUUUAUUGCCCGAAGAGGAGCUCGCGUCUGAUUAGCUAGUUGGUGAGGUAAGAGCUCACCAAGGCAGCGAUCAGUAGCUGGUCUGAGAGGACGAUCAGCCACACUGGGACUGAGACACGGCCCAGACUCCUACGGGAGGCAGCAGUGGGGAAUUUUCCGCAAUGGGCGAAAGCCUGACGGAGCAAGACCGCGUGAGGGAGGAAGGCUCUUGGGUUGUAAACCUCUUUUCUCAGGGAAGAACCUCUGACGGUACCUGAGGAAUCAGCCUCGGCUAACUCCGUGCCAGCAGCCGCGGUAAUACGGAGGAGGCAAGCGUUAUCCGGAAUUAUUGGGCGUAAAGCGUCCGCAGGUGGCGAUUCAAGUCUGCUGUCAAAGCACGGGGCUUAACUCCGUAAAGGCAGUGGAAACUGAAUAGCUAGAGUGCCGUAGGGGUAGAGGGAAUUCCCGGUGUAGCGGUGAAAUGCGUAGAGAUCGGGAAGAACAUCGGUGGCGAAAGCGCUCUACUGGACGGCAACUGACACUCAGGGACGAAAGCUAGGGGAGCGAAUGGGAUUAGAUACCCC
rnacentral:rRNA from 1 species